GGGCGAGCAGUGCCCGGAGCAGCAGCGGCUGGGAGAAGGUCAUUGCCGGCGGAGCCGGAGCACAGAGAAGCGGAGAUGGAGAGGGAGGAGGAGGCGGCAGAGGCAGAGGCGGCUGAGAGAAGAGAGGAGGAAAGAAGAGAGAGGAGAGAAGAGAAGAGAGGAGAGAGGCGAGAAGAGGCGAGUAGAAAGAGGGCAGGAUCGAGGCUCAGAAGCUGGAGGAAGCAUGAAACCAGAGAUCCCUAGGCAACCGGAGCAUCCUUGGCCCGAGGUUAUUGUAUCACCACCGCUUACCACAGUCUUGCACAUAGUAGGUGCGUAAUAAAUGCUUGUUGAAUUGAAUGAAA